AGCCCAUCUCUUCAAGAUGUCCUAAUGGAGACUUUCUGAUUUCUCUUUUUCCGGAUUCUAGGACUUUAAAGCUUCCACAGAGCCUGGCUUUGUGCCUAACCCACAAAAAAUACCAAAUAAAUAUUUGCUGACUACGUGAAUAAAUGAAUGGAUGAAAACUGAAGCAAAAUGUGGUUUUAUUUCAUUUGAGCGCACGGCCACCGCGUCAGCUGGGUCAGAGAGCAGAGGGGCGCGUCUUCCCGGAAUCUCGGGAUCUCGGAAAUCCUCCAGCGAAGGUAGAGUCCUAAUCCACGGGUUCUGCCCACCACGCGGGCCAUGUCUGCAGAUGCCCGUGGCAACGCCGGAUUAUUUAACCCAUCCCGUUUCGUCCAGCUGGUCCAUCUGCUGGAUUCGUGGAACUCAACCUCCCGACAAAUAUUUGUCUCCUCCGUUUUUUGCCCGAGUCUCUGUGCUGAGUACUUUACACGGACUGUCUCGUGUAAUCCGUACGACGCUCUGAAGAAGGCACUGGUGUUAUCCCAACUUUGCGGACGAGGAAUCUGAGGCCCGGGUUGAUCGAGUAGAUUCACCAGCCACCCCCGUUCACCUGUCUCGGGGGUAGCUCCCAGGACAUGGAACUCCCAGCUCUCCUAACCAGGACAGUCCCAGGCCAGCUGCCCCAGUUUUCUCGGGACUGGGAAAUUUCCUGGGCGUGGAAAACUGGGGCGGUCCCGCGCAACCUGACGAGUCGGUCUCCCUACCCCAGUCACGCAGCUGGUAAGCCCCAGAGUGAGUUUCGUGGCUCCCCGUGUCUGACACCAAGGCCCCACUUCUUCCCACCCUGCUUUGUCCGACCAACCUCCAAUCCCACAUUUUGGCUCCUUCUCAGAUGUCACAGUCACCU